rfam:Enterococcus devriesei strain DSM 22802 Scaffold4, whole genome shotgun sequence.
UGUUGGAAAUAUUCAUAACAACAUAGCGAGUUAAAAUAAGGCUUAGUCCGUAAUCAACUUUUAAAGUGGCGCUGUUUCGGCGCUUUUUUU